CGAAAAAUAACGAUACGGGACUCAUCCGAGGCCCCGUAAUCGGAAUGAGUACACUCUAAACCCUUUAACGAGGAUCAAUUGGAGGGCAAGUCUGGUGCCAGCAGCCGCGGUAAUUCCAGCUCCAAUAGCGUAUAUUAAAGUUGUUGCGGUUAAAAAGCUCGUAGUCGAAUUUGUGUCCCGCGCCGCCGGUUCAUCGCUCGCGGUGUCAACUGGCGUGUCCGCGGGACGUCCUGCCGGUGGGCUCAGCCCCUGCGGGGGCGGCCCAAUCUCAAUCCCACCGCGGUGCUCUUCACUGAGUGUCGAGGUGGGCCGGCACGUUUACUUUGAACAAAUUAGAGUGCUUAAAGCAGGCUAAAACAUCGCCUGAAUACUGUGUGCAUGGAAUAAUGGAAUAGGACCUCGGUUCUAUUUUGUUGGUUUUCGGGACUCCGAGGUAAUGAUUAACAGGAACGGAUGGGGGCAUUCGUAUUGCGACGUUAGAGGUGAAAUUCUUGGAUCGUCGCAAGACGGACAGAAGCGAAAGCAUUUGCCAAAAACGUUUUCAUUGAUCAAGAACGAAAGUUAGAGGUUCGAAGGCGAUCAGAUACCGCCCUAGUUCUAACCAUAAACGAUGCCAGCUAGCGAUUCGCCGACGUUCCUCCGAUGACUCGGCGGGCAGCUUCCGGGAAACCAAAGCUUUUGGGUUCCGGGGGAAGUAUGGUUGCAAAGCUGAAACUUAAAGGAAUUGACGGAAGGGCACCACCAGGAGUGGAGCCUGCGGCUUAAUUUGACUCAACACGGGAAACCUCACCAGGCCCGGACACCGGAAGGAUUGACAGAUUGAGAG
rnacentral:rRNA from 1 species